GUGGGGACAGCUGGGAGGGAGGCUGGCAGAGCGAGGCUGGGGGAGCAGUGGCCCUACUGCUUCCUGCAGGAGGUGAGGCCUUCCAGGCUCAUCUCAGGCAGGGAAAGCCAGAGCCAGCGUUCAGCCUCCUUGGGCCCCGGGAGCUCCCACUCAGGGCCGGCGGU